rnacentral:lncRNA from 1 species
GAAGGGAGAAAAUGAAAGAGGACCACAACAAAGUCAUCUUCACUCUAGGAGUGUGCAGCUUUAGCUUGGACAAGAAUGCGUAGAGAUUGCCUUAUCAAGCAAAAGCAUCUCUCUCAAGUCUCUUCAUUUGUGUGUAUAUUUGUCUCUCUCUCACUCUCUUUCGAGUUUUACUGCACUGUCUGAGGGAGAGAGAAAAAGAGAGAGAUGAUGGAGAGGUUGAGACAUGAAAAGCUAUAUAUGGAAAUGGCCGUGAGAUGGGGACUCGAAUCUUAUCUGCCUCUUCUUUCCUUUUACAAUCAUUUUGGUUCCCUCUUUCCUCUGCAUCUUUGCAUUUCACCAUCACUCAAAACCCUAAUUUCAUCUGAAUUCAUUAUCUUUGUUUCUCUCAGGUAUACGAUGUAAGAUAGAGAGAUAUAAUGUAUGUU